UGUUAAAGAACUUAGUUUAAAAAGGCCAAGAUCUACCACUGCAAUGUGGGCCAUCUCUAGUGGUCCUGAUCUAUAUCUUGCCAAGUGGACUUAGAGGACUCUGGAAGAGAACGUAUGGCAGUGAAAGAUAGAGUGUGGAGUAAACAAUGCUCUGCACCCCAUAGGCCGUGCUACCAUUAGUGCUUACAGGGUAGCUGAAGAUCCUUUUGCCUACAUCUGUGAAAACCCAGUCUUUUAAUGAUGUUUUCCUUACAAGAUUAUGAUCACCAGGAGCAGAAGCAAGUUUAUUUGGUGAGCAAAUAAGCCAAAGAGGAAGAAAGGAUUUUGCUAACCCUGGAGAGGUACUUAGUUGCGUCAGAGGUACAGAAAGUGACAACGGGGACUGGACAUGAUUUUGGCCAACAAGAAGGAACUAGUUGGUGAAAUAUAAACAACUGGAACCUAGGGAGAAAGAGACCGUUUUUCUACAUAGAGGAGGUGACACAUGAGCAAGCUCAGACAUAGCCCCUAUAUUUUAGGGUAGCUCAGUUUCUCUGCACAACCAUCCCAGAUUCCACCAAAAACAGACGUUUUGGGAGAGGGGCUUUUGGAGACUCUGUUUGUGAACACUUUGGGGAUGGUUCACAGAGAGUUUGGGGAGAGAGAUGUCCAAAGGAGGAGGAGUAAUCCGUCUACCCCAAUUACUCUCUAAUUCAGAGGGAGAUAAUGACUAACUGAUUACUUCUAGCAUGGUUUUGAAGACCAUGGAACAAAUAUGGUGCUAAAUGGACUAGACUCCAACUGCCCCCUCAGGGACACUCUCUCUGCCGCCCAUUCCACAGGAGAGGAAGCUAUUGGGUUAAUUUAACUGUACUUUCUAAAUACACCCCCCCCACACUCAGCUCACCCCCUAACGUCUAAGCAAGAAAAACCAUUUCCUGUCCUUACAGUCAGAAGUGUUUAGCACUGGCUGGGGCAUUUCCAAUGUGCUAUGCUAGCCUGACCCUCCUAUUUCUCCCACCCUUCCUCCUCUCUGUCUGUUCCUUCUUUGAUAUUGGAUACCUCCUGUUAGGAAAAAAAAAAGAAAAAAAAGAAAGAAAGAAUUAGCGCCUUUGGUUUCAUGUUUUUAUUUAAGGGACAGAGCAGAGCAGAAAGUAAGCCUGGAAUACCAGCAGUAGAGUUAUCCAGUCCCCACCAUCAGAGGCAUGUACCUCGGCACCUUGGCAGGGAAGCAGUCGAACAAUGGGGCUCUCCUAGCAACUGCCAAACCCAGUAGCACUGCCUACAUUUUCUAAGGCAGCCCACGUUGAUAAGCAAGGAUAAAUAAGGAACAAAGAGAAGACUUUCUAAGCUGAAGCUUCAUCCCCCAGAUUAGCCACUUCUAAACUUUUUGCUGUUAGAAUUUCUUUAUAUUCUUAAAAGUUACAAGAAUAUCAAAGAGCUUUUAUUUAUACAUGUUUUAGCUAUCACUAUUUACUAUAGUAGGAAUUAAAAUGGAUAUAUUUUAAAAUAUUGAUUCAUAAAAUAACAACAAUAAACUCAUUAUAUGUUGACAUAAAUAUCAUUUUAAUUUAAAUAACUAUUUUCCAAAACAUGCAAAAAAAUUUAGUGAAAAAAGUAGAAUUCAUUUUUUUUAUGUCUACAAAUCUCUUUAGUGUCUGGCUUAAUAGAAGACAAAUGGAUUCUCAUAUCUGCUUAUGCAUUCAAUCUGUUGCGAUAUGUUGUUUUGGCUGAGGUGUAUGAAUAAAAUCCAACUUCAUACAGAAAUGUAUUUGGAAAAGGGAAGAGUAUUUUAAUAGGCAAAUAACAUCUGAUUGAUUAAUACUAUGAGUUUGAUCUCUGGUGCCCUCUAAAAGGGUUUCAAGGACAUCUUCCCCAGGUCCCUAAACCACUUUUUGAGACUUGCUGCCCUAGAGGACACAUAUUACAAAUAUAGAAUAUGCAUAUGGUAAAUAUGUGUAUAACAUACAACAUGUCAUAGAUAUAACAUGUAUGUUAUAUUUGCAUGUACUUAUAAGAUAUACAAUAUUAUAUGUAUAAAAUGUUUGUGUUUUUUAGAAAGUCCAAAAGCCAGGGAUGGGAGGGGAUGGAGGAAAGGGAUUGUCUCAGGGUAGAUUCACUUGAGUUCAUCUAUCCCUGCCCUCAAACUUAUGCUACCAUAUUGACCAUACAUUCACAAAUUGCUAUACAGUUGUUCAAUAAAUACGACAUUCAGUUGGUUAAAUUUCGAAAUAUCUGGAGAAAAGAUAAAGAUGACUCCAUGGCCUGAUAUAAGGUUAGAGAAAGCUCUCAAAAAAUCUUUUAUUUUUCAAUAAGUUUAUAUGUCAUUAAAAAAAUAUUCCUCUGCUCCUAUGACCACAAA